rfam:Gossypium raimondii Chr04_contig_78, whole genome shotgun sequence.
AGGUAAAAUUUUCAUCCAUUUCUACUGUUAAAAACUGGUGUGGUUGAUGGAAUAACCAGACAGUUCCACGUUGCGUGCAUGAUGACAUACAGGAACCAGUUUUAACAGUAGAAAUGAAUAAAUUUUUUAACA